AUACGGAGGGCGCAAGCGUUGUUCGGAAUCAUUGGGCGUAAAGCGGGUGCAGGCGGUGAAGUCAGUCGGAUGUGAAAGCCCAGGGCCCAACCCUGGAACUGCAUUCGAAACUGCUUCACUAGAGUCCCGGAGAGGAAGGCGGAAUUCCCGGUGUAGAGGUGAAAUUCGUAGAUAUCGGGAGGAACACCAGUGGCGAAGGCGGCCUUCUGGACGGUGACUGACGCUCAGACCCGAAAGCGUGGGGAGCAAACAGGAGUAGAUACCCCAGUAGUCC
rnacentral:rRNA from 1 species